AGUCACUUGCAGUAUCUAUCUGUUUCUGAACCCUCUCUGUUGUAUGUUAACUUGAAAGUUACAAGUUGAGCAUCCCUAAUCAGAAGAUCUUCAAACCAUAAUGCUCAACAAUCCCAAACAUUUUGAGUGACAACGUGAUGCUCAGAGGAAAUGCUCAUUGCAGCGUACUGGAUUUCAAAUUUUAAGAUCAGAGAUGCUCAAUCGGUGUGAUGUUAAACUGAGAAACUACAUUUUCUUUUGUUUGGCUUCAAAUGCGUUGAUUUCCUUGUGUGAGAUGGGUUUGCUUUAUCUAUCAUAUUUUACACUUUUAUUCUUGUAUUUGUUUCACACUGUACGUUUCCUUCAUGAAAAUUGUUACACACUUAUAGGAUUCUUGGUUUAAUAUCUGUCUCCCCUGCUAGACCGUAAGCUCUAUGAGGACAGGACAAUGUGUGGCCUGUUCAUCCCUGUAUUAGUAACUAGCCAGUGCCAGGCACACAUGUAUCAGUGCUCAAUAAAUAUUUGUUGAUUAAA